AGGUAAAUGAACUUUCUUUUGGAUUAUGUAGUGAGUGUCAUACGCCUAAAAUACUGCCAAGAGCUCAGCUGGAUUUCUAAACUAGGGCUCCAAAUAUCUGCUGAAGGGACAGAGAUUAUAGAUGAACUCACUUCUGCCUCACUUCUGUGGAAAGAAGAGAAUGACCAGCUGGUGAUGACAACCUAAUGAUUGGCUUGUUUAAUCAAGAAUUAUUUGUUCAUGUUUUUAUGCCAGGAGAGAUUGCAGAAGUCUUGGGAGUACCUUCCAUGCCCAAAGCUUUGGGAGCAUGAGGUGCCUGGCAGAUCCUACAAUACUGCUGGUAAAGUAUAAUACAUAAAAACACAGUACUCUCCACAA